GUGUUGUCAACCACCAACAAAACUGCAGGGGGUCCAGCAGGGGUCCUGUGAUGCUCUUAAGGUGGUCCAGCACGAGGCAUUCAAUUCUCAUUCACUGCCAUAGAUGAUUAUAUUUGUCAACUGGAAUCCAAAUAUUUACUGCCACCGAAAAAUAUAUUCAACAAGCACAUUUUUCCAAUGGGUAGGCGUGGAAGAGGGUCUCACCUAACUCGUCUGUGAAAUUCAAGCUUCUACAUAACUGUACUGACAAACAGAUGCCAGCAGAUGGGAGUGUUAUAUCACUUUGGAUUUGAGAUCAACACAGCUUUUGAGUAUGGGGUGAAUCUCGGCUGGUCACAUCGAUUAUGAGGGAGAAGUCUACAACUUGAUUCCCCCCAAUCAUGAGCUUGAUUGUGCUUUUGACUCAGAUCACUAUCGCCACGGCUUCAUUGUGCCGGGAAUUUGGUAGACAAAAAGCAGGAAAUGGCCAGGAGUCACACAAGCCAUGUGCAGGGAGGCACAUACGUCGGAGAGAGCAAGAAAGAGCGAGCGACCGCGAGAGAGAGAUAUAUGUGUCAUCGAGCUGCUUGUCAUCCAGGCUGCUGUCCUGCAUGCAGCCUGACUGGCUCAAGUAGUGAUAGGACUCAGGACCCUCAGACAGCAAAUACAUAUCUGCAACAAAAGACCGAUUGGAGUCUCGAUGCUUUACAAGUAGAACACAUCAUUUGCUUGGUUUAAUGACAGAGAAAUACAGAUGCAUCUGAAUAUAUUAUAAUGUGGUAGAAAAGCUAAUUAUUUCUACCUUGGUAUCAUGCAUUUUUACAAAGUAUGUUUUUGCUUCUACCCAUAUGAUCAAACAUGAAGUAUUAUCUGUAUUUUGUUAGUUUUUUCAAGUAAUUAUUCUGAAGCACUUUAUUUGAACGCAUAAUACUUUUUUAUUUACUUGCUCUUAUUGUGAAAUUCACAGCCCUACUUUUAUUUAGUAAAUGAGAAAAAACACACAGUGGUGCUCAUAUGUUUGAUUACCCAGGCAGAAUUUGUAAGAGGUGUACAAUUCUUUAAAGAAAACAUGAAGGACCAGGCGAAACACAUUUAAUUUCAUUUAAAUGGGAUUCAAAUUAAACUGUCAAGCAUUUCAGUAAAGCAUUAUCAUUAAACAAAACAUAACCAUAAAGAAAUUAAUAAUGGUUGUUGUUCAGUCAUCAGUCGUAUUUAAAAAAAAAAAUAAAUAAUAAUAAUAAUAUUUCACUAAUUCUGCCUGGGUAUGUAAACCUAUGAGCACAAUAUAUAUAUAUUGCAUAUAUGCAGUCAUAUGUACCCCUGUCACAUUGGAAUGAAAGUGUAGGCUACACAUUUUUAACCUCUAGAAUGAAAGUGUACAACUUUUUCAUAACCUCUAGAUGGCGGCAUACAUUCAUAGAAUGAGAGUCUUUCAUUUUCUCCUAUGCCUAUGUAUAAUGCAAACUAUUGUCUUUUGACCAUUUUUGGGGGGGGAAAUGCAUCUUAUACACGAGAAAGUACGGUACACUACCUAAUUUCCAUUGAAAACAAUUAUUUUGAUGGUUCCUGUUUUGAAGUCUUCCACUGUAUUCUAAUGUAUUGGGCUGCGCCUGUAUGUCCUUUUAAAGUGCAA